rnacentral:rRNA from 1 species
AGUGAACGCUGGCGGUAGGCCUAACACAUGCAAGUCGAACGGCAGCACAGUAAGAGCUUGCUCUUACGGGUGGCGAGUGGCGGACGGGUGAGGAAUACAUCGGAAUCUACUUUUUCGUGGGGGAUAACGUAGGGAAACUUACGCUAAUACCUCAUACGACCUACGGGUGAAAGCAGGGGAUCUUCGGACCUUGCGCGAUUGAAUGAGCCGAUGUCGGAUUAGCUAGUUGGCGGGGUAAAGGCCCACCAAGGCGACGAUCCGUAGCUGGCCUGAGAGGAUGAUCAGCCACACUGGAACUGAGACACGGCCCAGACUCCUACGGGAGGCAGCAGUGGGGAAUAUUGGACAAUGGGCGCAAGCCUGAUCCAGCCAUACCGCGUGGGUGAAGAAGGCCUUCGGGUUGUAAAGCCCUUUUGUUGGGAAAGAAAAGCAGCAGGUUAAUACCCCGCUGUUCUGACGGUACCCAAAGAAUAAGCACCGGCUAACUUCGUG